UACGUAGGGCGCAAGCGUUGUCCGGAAUUAUUGGGCGUAAAGAGCUCGUAGGCGGUCUGUCGCGUCCGUUGUGAAAACCUGCGGCUCAACUGCAGGCUGGCGGUCGAUACGGGCAGGCUGGAGUUCGGUAGGGGAGACUGGAAUUCCUGGUGUAGCGGUGAAAUGCGCAGAUAUCAGGAGGAACACCGGUGGCGAAGGCGGGUCUCUGGGCCGAUACUGACGCUGAGGAGCGAAAGCGUGGGGAGCGAACAGG
rnacentral:rRNA from 1 species